rnacentral:rRNA from 1 species
GGAAACGGACAGAGCUGGCGUAUCUGGUCUGCAUUCAUCCGUGUGUUCUUGGGCGUUUGGAUUGCCACUCUCCAGACUGGGAUGGUGUUCAUUCUGCUCAGGGGCUCAUGGAGCAUUUGCAGGCGGAGUGCGCUGAGAUGCUCGGGACAGCUGCAUGAGCUUGGCUUUGAGGCCAGCCCUUCGGGGUCUGGUACCCGGGCUGUGGGAGUGCUGUUUGUUCUGGGUGCUGAGUGUGUGCAAUGGCAACGGGUCCGUGUUGGUUUGAGCUGGUGGUUGGUGGCGGUCGCGUGCGACACGUGCCGGCAGUCAGUUCGGUCCUGCUCGGGCUCUCAUUGCAUGUUCUCGGUGUAAAAGCCGGUCAUCUGUCCGACCCGUCUUGAAACACGGACCAAGGAGUUUAGCGUGUGCGCGAGUCAUUGGGAGUUGAAAACCCAAGGGCGUAAUGAAAGUGAAGGUCUCCUUGCGGAGCUGAUGUGUGAUCUCGUGCACCCCGGUGUGCGGGCGCAACAUAGUCCCGUCCCAAUCGCAUGCGAUGGGGCGGAGACAGAGCGUACGCGCUGAGACCCGAAAGAUGGUGAACUAUUCCUGAGCAGGAUGAAGCC